UACAAUAAUCAGCCUGCCCAUACAUUUUCUAUCUUGUCAGUAUAGCUUCUUUCUGAAAAUACAACCUCCUCAACAUAUAUUAACAUUCAGUUCUUGACAGGGUAAUAAGGGUCUGGUCAAAUUAAAGAAGCGCCCAUUUCAUUUAUCUACAAUACAACUAUUUUCACAGACCUUCUUCCUGCAACAGAGAAACUUCUCCACACACAUCACCAACUUCAGUGGAAUUCUUGACCUCCAUGGAAGAAAACAAGACAAUGGCCCACGCUCAAGCGCUUUGCAUUUAACACACCCACACGCCCCAUCAGUAAGUAAACAAGCGGUUCCUACCAGAUCUGCUCCUGAUGAUAUCACCGAACUCGUCCGCCGCAGACUCUUCGCUGGGGUUCUCGGGACGUCCUGCUUCAGCCAUAGCAAACAAACCCUCAGCCACACACAGAGCCUCUCUCAGAUCUGACUCCGCACCCGGAGGCGCCUUUUAAGCCAGAAGAAACACAAAGUUUAAAAGGAGGGGUGGGGUUUUUUGUGGUUCUGGAAGAGGGGCAGGGAGUCAGCCUGGCUCCCCCAGCCACAGCGAGGAGCAAAGGAAAGGGGAACAGACAGACAAUAAACCAAGGCAAAGAUCACACUGGAGGAGAGCUGUCAAACUCUGCUCCCCGGACAGCAGAGAACAGGUGCCGAGCCAUGCGCGUCUGCCUUAAAAUAGAGCCAGCGGCUCCAGCAAGGUGAAAGAGGAGGAGCUGCUGCCAUUGCCACAUUCAGGUUCUCCCCCUCCACACCCAUGGAGCGCGUGAGUCAGAUAAGGAGGAGAAAGAAGACGACUUGGGAUGAUGUGUUCCAGGAGAUGCUGCAAGUCUGUGCUGUGUCAACAAAGAAACCAGGCCCUGGAGGGUGACCCUUGAAGACAGCCGGGGGAAGGAAAGAGUGGAGAGGAGAAAGGCCCAGGAGUCCCAGCCGGAAAAGAAACAGGAGAUUCACUAAGACAAUGGGGUUUCUCAGGCCAUGAGCAGAUACUACAAACUGUGGUGGACCUACAGCUUCAACAAUCCUGAGUUUGCCUCCUUUUGCAGCCGAUUGAGAACUCACUAUUUGGGUAUUCCUAUACACCUCAACAGUGCAUGUAGCAUUAGGUGUCACUGCACUACCACUAUCACUCCACCCCAAGGGACAUCAAAGAAAAUCACAGUUUCACAUAUAUCCGCCAUGGCUUUUGUAUGUCAGUGUAUGUGUAGCUGAAAUGAAGAUGAAUGUUCUUUUCCCUUAAUAAAUUAAGAGAACAGAAUUUAUGAAGUCUUAUUAAGUAUUUAAUGUGUUUGUUGUAAAAGUACAUAGGUUUUUUUAUUUUGCACUGAUUUUGUUACGAAUAAAAUUC